ensembl:lncRNA
UGCCAGCAGAGGGGAGAGGAGGAAAACACCCCCCACCCCUUCGGUUGACGUAUGCGCAGAGCGGAGGGAGCUGAGCUGGUGUUUACAGCGCGGUGGGGGAGGAGCGAGGUGAAGGGAAGACUGAGCCGUGUAGUCAUCUGACAUCAAAUCUGUCUGCGGCAGUUGACCUGUUUGCAGUCUGUGACGCCUGUUUUAACUCCAAAAAGCCAGGCCAUGUUGUGUGUGUACCAGCUGUACUCCAGAAGCCAGCGAUAAUGGAUGAUUAAAGCAUUUCAGACAUAGUUCCUUCAAAGUGAAGUAUUAUUCACUAAGGUCCUCAGCUGGAAGCAAAUAUCUCUGCUGUGAGCCUGGCAGCAGCAGCACUGCUGUCCUCAGACCCCAAGGUGCCAGGGAAGCCAUGGCAGGGAGCUCAGUGGCAGUGGGUGCAGAGCUCAAUUCAACACCACCCUCUGG